GCCUAGCAAGAGUGGGAGCUGCAGGAGGAAGCGGGCGGAUAGCAAGGAUGAGCCGAGGGCUCUGGGCCUGCAGCCGGGGCCCCGCCCACCCGAGCCGCUCUGGCUUCUCCGCCGACCUGCAGAGCUUAGCUCCAGCGGCUCGGAGACGGAAGGGCCGCUGGGUGCGGAGCAGCUGCGGAGAGGGGGCGUUCCAGUUACCUCCCAACCGAUGGCAUUCGGAAUAAAUGGGGCCCUGAGAAACCCAAACUCUCAACUUUCCAGGCCCGGGCGGGGCCAGCAGUGGUGACUGUGCCCUAACCCGCAGGGGCUGCUUUCCUGCUGAUCUCGGAGAAUCAGGGUCUGUGCUGAGAAAGAUGGCUGAGGAACGGUCUCACUGAAAGAUUUAACCUCUGUCUGCCGCUGUGAAGAAGGGGCAUAACCAGAGUCAGAAAAGAGGCUGGCAGAGGAGCGGAGGGCUCUCCCUUCAACAGCACCGCGGUGCAGGCCCUGGGAGAGGAGAAGGCAGGGACUGGGUGGACAUCUUUACCCCCAGAAGCCAUUACUUCACAGGGAAGAGGGGGAAGUCGAGUCAGCAGAUGUCCACUCUGCCCACCAGAGCACGAGGCUAGUCCUCCCCAGUCCUCCUCCUCAGGGAGGGCCAGAGCAAGGUGACUUUUGUGUCACAGAAGUCAGAACUAAGUUCAAAUUCCUCCUGAAUCAUCAGCGGUUCCCGCCAGCUCAGGAAGGACCUGGGAAUGACCAACAUGCCUUUCCACGCCACAAAAGAAGAUCCAGGGUGAUGACUGCCGUCUUUGGAACCAAGCUGGUUUGUCCUGAGCCAUGUAGUAUCACUCAUGUGAGCAGGGUUUCCCUGACAUCUGAGUGACCACACACACUAUGGCCUUACUUUUGCUUUUCUCUCACAUAAAGAAAAGGCACAAUCCUAGGA